AUUGAACGCUGGCGGCAUGCCUUACACAUGCAAGUCGAACGGCAGCACGGGGCAACCUGGUGGCGAGUGGCGAACGGGUGAGCAAUGCAUCGGAACGUACCUUUCAGUGGGGGAUAACGUAGCGAAAGUUACGCUAAUACCGCAUAUUCUGUGAGCAGUAAAGCAGGGGAUCGCAAGACCUUGCGCUGAUUGAGCGGCCGAUGUCAGAUUAGCUAGUUGGUGAUGUAAAGGCUCACCAAGGCGACGAUCUGUAGCGGGUCUGAGAGGAUGAUCCGCCACACUGGAACUGAGACACGGUCCAGACUCCUACGGGAGGCAGCAGUGGGGAAUUUUGGACAAUGGGGGCAACCCUGAUCCAGCCAUGCCGCGUGAGUGAAGAAGGCCUUCGGGUUGUAAAGCUCUUUCGGCCGGGAAGAGAUCGCACGGGCUAAUACCCUGUGUGGAUGACGGUACCGGAAUAAGAAGCACCGGCUAACUACGUGCCAGCAGCCGCCGCGGUAA
rnacentral:rRNA from 1 species